rnacentral:rRNA from 1 species
UAAUGUCUGGGAAACUGCCUGAUGGAGGGGGAUAACUACUGGAAACGGUAGCUAAUACCGCAUAACGUCGCAAGACCAAANAGGGGGACCUUCGGGCCUCUUGCCAUCAGAUGUGCCCAGAUGGGAUUAGCUAGUAGGUGGGGUAACGGCUCACCUAGGCGACGAUCCCUAGCUGGUCUGAGAGGAUGACCAGCCACACUGGAACUGAGACACGGUCCAGACUCCUACGGGAGGCAGCAUG